CUACUAUGCGCUCAUCCUGAGCUUUUCCUGCUUAAAUGAACAGGGGAAUCCCGUGAGAUUCGGGAACGGACGCGCCACUGUAUGCCAUUUAGGUAAGUCAGAACACCUCAGCCUGAUUGUCUUCGC
rnacentral:ncRNA from 2 species